ACGCUAUCACUCCUACGGGAGGCAGCAGUGGGAAUAUUUGCACAAUGGGGGAAACCCUGAUGCAGCCAUGCCGCGUGUGUGAAGAAGGCCUUCGGGUUGUAAAGCACUUUUCAGUAGGGAGGAAGGUAGUGUAGUUAACACCUGCAUUAUUUGACGUUACCUACAGAAGAAGCACCGGCUAACUCCGUGCCAGCAGCCGCGGUAAUACGGAGGGUGCGAGCGUUAAUCGGAAUUACUGGGCGUAAAGCGCAUGCAGGCGGCCUGUUAAGUCAGAUGUGAAAGCCCGGGGCUUAACCUCGGAAUUGCAUUUGAAACUGGCAGGCUAGAGUCUUGUAGAGGGGGUAGAAUUUCAGGUGUAGCGGUGAAAUGCGUAGAGAUCUGAAGGAAUACCGGUGGCGAAGGCGGCCCCCUGGACAAAGACUGACGCUCAGAUGCGAAAGCGUGGGGAGCAAACAGGAUUAGAUACCCUGGUAG
rnacentral:rRNA from 1 species